rnacentral:rRNA from 1 species
GCGGCAGGCUAACACAUGCAAGUCGAGCGGUAGCACAGAGAGCUUGCUCUCGGGUGACGAGCGGCGGACGGGUGAGUAAUGUCUGGGAAACUGCCUGAUGGAGGGGGAUAACUACUGGAAACGGUAGCUAAUACCGCAUAACGUCGCAAGACCAAAGUGGGGGACCUUCGGGCCUCAUGCCAUCAGAUGUGCCCAGAUGGGAUUAGCUAGUAGGUGGGGUAACGGCUCACCUAGGCGACGAUCCCUAGCUGGUCUGAGAGGAUGACCAGCCACACUGGAACUGAGACACGGUCCAGACUCCUACGGGAGGCAGCAGUGGGGAAUAUUGCACAAUGGGCGCAAGCCUGAUGCAGCCAUGCCGCGUGUGUGAAGAAGGCCUUCGGGUUGUAAAGCACUUUCAGCGGGGAGGAAGGCGUUAAGGUUAAUAACCUUGGCGAUUGACGUUACCCGCAGAAGAAGCACCGGCUAACUCCGUGCCAGCAGCCGCGGUAAUACGGAGGGUGCAAGCGUUAAUCGGAAUUACUGGGCGUAAAGCGCACGCAGGCGGUCUGUCAAGUCGGAUGUGAAAUCCCCGGGCUCAACCUGGGAACUGCAUUCGAAACUGGCAGGCUAGAGUCUUGUAGAGGGGGGUAGAAUUCCAGGUGUAGCGGUGAAAUGCGUAAAGAUCUGGAGGAAUACCGGUGGCGAAGGCGGCCCCCUGGACAAAGACUGACGCUCAAGUGCGAAAGCGUGGGGAGAAAACAGGAUUAGAUACCCUGGUAGUCCACGCCGUAAACUAUGUCGAUUUGGAGGUUGUGCCCUGAGGCUUGGCUACCGAAGAUACGCAAUAAAUCUAUCGCCUGG